rnacentral:lncRNA from 13 species
GAAUAAGAGAAGCUGUGCUUCCCUAAGACCGUAUAGUUAAAUGGGCCCUUGGAUUAGUCCGGGGCAAUAAAAUGUGAGUAGAAGUGACUGCAUCAUUGCAGGUGAAGGCACUGAAAAAUCUGUGCCACACCCCAUUCUCUCUCCCUCUCUUGCAGCACCUGCAACUUUCCGGAAGGUGGAACCUCAGUCUUCCUGGGACCUUUUAGUUCAGAGCUCCAGUUUUCAACUUGACAGCAUACAUGAUUUCCAGUGCCCACGUCUUGCUGAUGCCGGCCCUCUACAGUUGGAGAGCAUGGUGAUGAGCCAGGUUGGAGAAGAGCCCUCAGGACACAGAGGAGGCCAGAGCUGAGAGCUUUCCUCAGGAAAGGAUGGACCAGUAUGGAGAUUUUAAGCCUGGGCAAUUUUUAUUCCCCUCAUUUUGUGUUUGGCAAGAAGUAGAACAUAAAGAAGGGGCUAAAAUUGUGGACAGAAAUGGUAGAUAAGCAGAGGUAAAUGGGAGAUGAGUGUAAAU